rnacentral:tRNA from 1 species
AAAGACAAAGUAUACAAUAUAGUACAUUUCAUUUACAAUGAAAAGGUCCGACGAUGGUGUCUUUA